rnacentral:lncRNA from 1 species
CGCGGGGGUGCAGGGAGUCCCUCCCUGGGCGCCGCAACGGCACCUCCUCCCUUUCCCGGCUCCGUCCCGCCCUCCCUCGGCCUCUGCGGACGCGACCCACGCAGACCACAGCCGAGCCCGCCGGACCCCGGGACUACGGAAGCCAUCCCGUCCGGCCACCCACACCCGCGCCGCGGCUGGGGCUUGGGUUGGGGACUGUGGCGGCGAAGAAGCCGGGGCAUACAACUCAGGAUUCAUAACUACAUAUAUACGGAUAGAAGUGCAUGAACAGAAAAUCUGCCCUUCUGGAAUACCAAAUGCAAAAUUAAAGUGACUACAAGCAGAAUUUGGAGAAAAAAAAUAAA